UACAGAGGUCCCGAGCGUUGUUCGGAUUUAUUGGGCGUAAAGGGUGCGUAGGCGGCGGAGUAAGUUGGGUGUGAAAUCCCGGGGCUCAACCUCGGAAUUGCAUUCAAUACUGCUUCGCUCGAGUACUGGAGAGGAGGCUGGAAUUUACGGUGUAGCAGUGAAAUGCGUAGAUAUCGUAAGGAAUACCGGAGGCGAAGGCGGCUCACUGGGGGUUAUCUGACGCUGAGGAACGAAAGCCAGGGGAGCAAACGGG
rnacentral:rRNA from 1 species